rnacentral:rRNA from 1 species
ACGAACGCUGGCGGCAAGCCUAACACAUGCAAGUCGAACGCGUGUAGCAAUACACGAGUGGCGGACGGGUGAGAAACGCGUGGGAACGUACCCAGCAGUACGGGAUAACCGCGGGAAACUGCGGCUAAUACCGAAUACGCCCUUCGGGGGAAAGAUUUAUCGCUGUUGGAUCGGCCCGCGUCCGAUUAGCUAGUUGGUGGGGUAACGGCCUACCAAGGCAAUGAUCGGUAGCUGGUCUGAGAGGACGAUCAGCCACACUGGGACUGAGACACGGCCCAGACUCCUACGGGAGGCAGCAGUGGGGAGUAUUGGACAAUGGGGGCAACCCUGAUCCAGCUAUGCCGCGUGGGUGAUGAAGGCCUUCGGGUUGUAAAGCCCUUUUGGCGGGGACGAUAAUGACGGUACCCGCAGAAUAAGCCCCGGCUAACUUCGU